rnacentral:rRNA from 1 species
AAUGAACGUUGGCGGCGUGGAUUAGGCAUGCAAGUCGAGCGAGAAGUUUACUUCGGUAAAUGGACAGCGGCGAAAGGGACAGUAAUGUGUAGGUACCUACCCCCCGAUCUGGGAUAGCUGCGGGAAACUGCAGGUAAUACCGGAUAAUGUCUUCGGACCAAAGGUGUGAUUCCGUCAGGGGAGGGGCCUGCAUCCUAUUAGCUUGUUGGUGAGGUAAUGGCUCACCAAGGCAACGAUGGGUAGCGGGUGUGAGAGCAUGACCCGCGUCAUUGGGACUGAGACACUGCCCAGACAUCUACGGAUGGCUGCAGUCGAGAAUCUUCGGCAAUGGGCGAAAGCCUGACCGAGCGACGCCGCGUGCGGGAUGAAGGCCCUCGGGUUGUAAACCGCUGUCGUUGGGGAGGAAAUGCAAAAGGGUUAUCCCUUCUGUUUGACCGAUCCAAGGAGGAAGUACGGGCUAAGUUCGUGCCAGCCGCCGCCGUAACAC